AUUGAACGCUGGCGGCAGGCCUAACACAUGCCAGUCGAGCGGAUGAAGGGAGCUUGCUCCUGGAUUCAGCGGCGGACGGGUGAGUAAUGCCUAGGAAUCUGCCUGGUAGUGGGGGAUAACGUCCGGAAACGGGCGCUAAUACCGCAUACGUCCUGAGGGAGAAAGUGGGGGAUCUUCGGACCUCACGCUAUCAGAUGAGCCUAGGUCGGAUUAGCUAGUUGGUGGGGUAAAGGCCUACCAAGGCGACGAUCCGUAACUGGUCUGAGAGGAUGAUCAGUCACACUGGAACUGAGACACGGUCCAGACUCCUACGGGAGGCAGCAGUGGGGAAUUUUGGACAAUGGGCGAAAGCCUGAUCCAGCCAUGCCGCGUGUGUGAAGAAGGUCUUCGGAUUGUAAAGCACUUUAAGUUGGGAGGAAGGGCAGUAAGUUAAUACCUUGCUGUUUUGACGUUACCAACAGAAUAAGCACCGGCUAACUUCGUG
rnacentral:rRNA from 1 species